UCCGUUAUGGUCUAGUGGCUAGGAUUCCGCGCUUUCAAAGCAAAGCUCCGCGGCGGCCGGGGUUCGAUUCCCCGUAACGGAA